rnacentral:rRNA from 1 species
AUUGAACGCUGGCGGCAGGCCUAACACAUGCAAGUCGAACGGUAACAGGAAACAGCUUGCUGUUUCGCUGACGAGUGGCGGACGGGUGAGAAAUGUCUGGGAAACUGCUUGAUGGAGGGGGAUAACUACUGGAAACGGUAGCUAAUACCGCAUAACGUCGCAAGACCAAAGAGGGGGACCUUCGGGCCUCUUGCCAUCGGAUGUGCGCAGAUGGGAUUAGCUAGUAGGUGGGGGAACGGCUCACCUAGGCGACGAUCCCUAGCUGGUCUGAGAGGGUGACCGGCCACACUGAAACUGAGACACGGCCCAGACUCCUACGGAAGGCAGCAGUGGGGAAUAUUGCACAAUGGGGGCAAGCCUGAUGCAGCCAUGCCGCGUGUAUGAAGAAGGCCUUCGGGUUGUAAAGUACUUUCAGCGGGGAUGAAGGGAGUAAAGUUAAUACCUUUGCUCAUUGACGUUACCCGCAGAAGAAGCACCGGCUAACUCCGU